CUGUGUUGCUUACCUAUCAAAAGGAAUCAGACGGUCUCGUUUGGCUUCUCUGCCCCUGGCCCUCGCGGGUUGUGGGGUGGACAUCAGGCAUGCCCUGUGGUCCCAGCAAGCCUCGCCUAGUUGCUUGGCUUCCUCGGCCCGUGGUGUGCUCUACUCAUUCUCGGAUGAAACAUGUUAUGUGCGAGUGUGGGGUCUUUUGGCAUCGUCUGCCCGAGUAAAGCAUUUGUCCUAUGACAUGAACAACUCUCAUACCCGUAUUGAACUUGUGGCCUUACGACCCAUCGGGUGUCAUGCAGGCGUCGGCAUCAUGUAGGAAUGCUACCUGGUUGAUCCUGCCAGUAGUCAUAUGCUUGUCUC
rnacentral:misc_RNA from 1 species